rnacentral:rRNA from 1 species
GAUGAACGCUGGCGGCGUGCCUAAUACAUGCAAGUCGAGCGAACAGAUGAGGAGCUUGCUCCUCUGACGUUAGCGGCGGACGGGUGAGUAACACGUGGAUAGCCUACCUAUAAGACUGGGAUAACUUCGGGAAACCGGAGCUAAUACCGGAUAAUAUAUUGAACCGCAUGGUUCAAUAGUGAAAGACGGUUUUGCUGUCACUUAUAGAUGGAUCCGCGCUGCAUUAGCUAGUUGGUAAGGUAACGGCUUACCAAGGCAACGAUGCGUAGCCGACCUGAGAGGGUGAUCGGCCACACUGGAACUGAGACACGGUCCAGACUCCUACGGGAGGCAGCAGUAGGGAAUCUUCCGCAAUGGGCGAAAGCCUGACGGAGCAACGCCGCGUGAGUGAUGAAGGUCUUCGGAUCGUAAAACUCUGUUAUUAGGGAAGAACAAAUGUGUAAGUAACUAUGCACGUCUUGACGGUACCUAAUCAGAAAGCCACGGCUAACUACGUG